AUCAUCCCUGAGAGCACGUUGUCUCCUCUACUCUCCACUAGGUGUUACAGAUCAUCCCUGAGAGCACGUUGUCUCCUCUACUCUCCACUAGGUGUUACAGAUCAUCCCUGAGAGCACGUUGUCUCCUCUACUCUCCACUAGGUGUUACAGAUCAUCCCAGAGAGCAUGUUGUUUCCUCUACUCUCCACUAAGUGUUACAGAUCAUCCCUGAGAGCAUGUUGUCUCCUCUACUCUCCACUAGGUGUUACAGAUCAUCCCUGAGAGCAUGUUGUCUCCUCUACUCUCCACUAGGUGUUACAGAUCAUCCCUGAGAGCACGUUGUCUCCUCUACUCUCCACUAGGUGUUACAGAUCAUCCCUGAGAGCAUGUUGUCUCCUCUACUCUCCACUAGGUGUUACAGAUCAUCCCUGAGAGCACGUUGUCUCCUCUACUCUCCACUAGGUGUUACAGAUCAUCCCUGAGAGCACGUUGUCUCCUCUACUCUC